GUAGUCCAUGCCGUAAACGUUGGGCACUAGGUGUGGGGCUCAUUCCACGAGUUCCGCGCCGCAGCUAACGCAUUAAGUGCCCCGCCUGGGGAGUACGGCCGCAAGGCUAAAACUCAAAGGAAUUGACGGGGGCCCGCACAAGCGGCGGAGCAUGCGGAUUAAUUCGAUGCAACGCGAAGAACCUUACCAAGGCUUGACAUACACCGGAAUCAUGCAGAGAUGUGUGCGUCUUCGGACUGGUGUACAGGUGGUGCAUGGUUGUCGUCAGCUCGUGUCGUGAGAUGUUGGGUUAAGUCCCGCAACGAGCGCAACCCUCGUCCUAUGUUGCCAGCACGUGAUGGUGGGGACUCAUAGGAGACUGCCGGGGUCAACUCGGA
rnacentral:rRNA from 1 species